rnacentral:lncRNA from 1 species
GACGAUUUCAUCCAGAAAAAACGAGACGUCAUAUGAUACUGGCAAAGAGGGAACACAAGCCUAUAAUUUCCGUUGGUUUUGACGUGAUUUUGUUUUACGCCUUUCUAAAUGUGUUAUUAUUGUGUAAAAAAAACUGAAUAAAAUAUGAUUAGAUAUAUUAAACUUAGUAUAAAAACUAAAAAUUACAGACAAACAAAAGGGUAAUGAAAAACUUGGCAAUUCCUUUUUGGGAUGGGGUUUGUGCGUUACUUAUGAAGGUAAUUUUGGCACUGGGUCGAUACAGAUAGUUUCUAAUAAAAGUAAAGUCAGAACAGCGCUUCGAACUCAUACAUUUUAUAACGUGCUAUUUUUGAUUUGUAUAGCUAUACAUACAUGUAUUAUUAUAACAUACCAUUAGUAAAUUACCCGUUGAUAAAAGAGAUAUUAUGAAACUUCAUGUUCCAAGGAAAGGUUACCGUCGUAAAAUUUGAAUUUUGGUAAGUUCCAUUUGAUCAUUUAGUUCGUCACGUAUUUUGAUACUUUUCCAUCCUUGGCUUUCAAAUAUUUGGGUUUUAGUGUUUGUGAUAAAGAAAAGCUCAUCGGACGCAUGAUAUUGAUUAAGUACUAUUUUCAUUUUGUUUCAGUUGUGUAAUGUCUUCCAUCAAUAAAGGUAAUUGUACAUUUAAUUUAUCUCAGUUUACCAAGCAAUGUAAAAGAAAAAUAGACUGUAACGAACAGUGUAUCCCAGUAAAGAUGUAUAUAUUGUUCAAUGAAUCCACUAUCAAUGAUGGUAACGGUGAAAUCUUUGUACACUUCGCGUGGUGUAUAGCAACGUGAAGAGCGCAUUUACAUUUACAAAUGCUAGGUUGUCGUGUCUUUGUACGUACAAAUAUAUCAGUAUUUAAAGAUUUUAAAAAUCAAAGAGUAACAAGUUCACCAGUUUAAUUGACAAAUCUUCUGUUUUAUAAAAUCAAUCAUGGACCUACAAGAGGAACAUAUCAAUCAUAAAUUCAUAUUAUUCAAAUAUAAAACCUACACAAGUCAAAAACACAUAUCAAUCAUAAUUUUACACACAAAAAUCUGGUACAUGCAACAUACAAGAUACUACUGUUUUUUUCUUCUUGAAAAUGUUGCUAAUGAUUACGACUGAUGUCAGAUGGGAUACAAAAUUGAGCCUAUGUUUAGGUCUAAAUAUUUGAUAUUUUACAGAAAAAAUAGGGGGGUUAUCAACAUUGCAACCCGUUUGUGUAAGAUCAAAUUUAAAAUUAAAACUAAAAUAAAAGCGUAUUCGUUAAUAAUAAAUGAAAAAAUUAAUAUAUAUCAAAGAAACAUAGGCUGAGACUAAGUUUAUAUCAUGGGUAUUCUGAGGACUUCCGUGUUGUCAACAGAUCAACAAACUGAAAUGUUGAAAUACAAAUAACAUGAUUAACAAAAGUUACAAUGAAAAUGCAUCAAACAGCAAAUCUAUAAAGGAUAACACUUGAAAUAAUUGUCGCUUAUUUUAAUAAAUGCAAAGAACCACACCCAUUAAAUUUAGUUGUAAACAAAAUGUUAUUUGCACUCACCGUCAAGAAUGUACAAAGUUGUUCUUAAGGGCAGACUACGAGUUGUGUAUUGGAAGGUGUAUUUGAAAGGUAGUACAUAUCAUUAAUUAUGUACAUAAUAUCAAUCUUCUUGUUUUGACUUCCGUUUAUUUUUAUUUUUUAAAUUUUACAGGUAUUUUCCUACGUCAAUAUAGUACUCUUAAUUGAUACUGAAUCCGGAUAUACAAGAAACUAGAGGUUUAUUCAUGAGCCAAUAUCUCCCAGCUGGCCCACUUUCACAAAAUUUCAGACGAUUUACGACCAAAACAGUUUGAAUAGUUUGUUCAGAUGAUGAUAAUGAUGAUGAUGAGUUACAUUGUGUUUAACGUCCAGGGGCUAAUAUUACACGCAUUUCAGGACAACAACAUCAAUAAGAUGUGCAUAUUCAAGUUGUUUUAAAAAAAUAUUUGACAGACACGUUUAGCCAGGAUUUUAACAUAUUAUUUUGAUUGACCCAGCCUGGGAUCGAACAAUAACCUUCCGAGAAAACCACGGACGACCCAUUUGAAUAUAGUUUUUUUUAAUAUUUAAGACCGAUUAAAAAUAAACAUGUAACACUCAGAAACGUGUCCAUCCAACCAAACGUGCCCGUAUGUCAACUCUGGAUUCCCAAACAUGUCUAGUUGGUAAUGGACGUCAGAACGUGUCCUUUUUAUGAACGCCUAAUCGUGUCCAUAUUUUAAAAACUCACAAACGUGUCCACCGUUACCAAAUAGUUGUUUUAAUCACAUAUGUUGUUUAAAACAAUUUCAGUCGACAAUAUACAAGUUCCUCAGACUGUCUUAAAAUAAUGAAAUAGAAAAAUCUAGAUUCUUAUAAAUGUUUUCUUGAUUAUAUUUUUUCAAGAAGAUGUUGUGUUGUUGUAAAACUAGUGGAGGUUAGUAGAAUAGUAUCGCUUAAAGGCGAUGAUUGCAAAAUUUUAAUCAAAAUGGUCAAAUGAUGUUAAAGAAAAAUUGUAUAUGCCCUACUUGAAAAUUGCGCAGAUAGAGC